AUGUGCCCUCUGUUCAGCAUUGUUUUGUUUGAUUGUUGUUCCCAGGUCCGUUGGUCUUGUGAGUACCUGUACUUUGUUUCGGCUUUUGCCGUGCGUGUUUUGUGUUCUCGUUAUUACGGGUCUCGUCCUGUGCAUUGUUGUUACGGGACUCGUCCUGUGCAUUAUUACGGGUCUCGUCCUGUGCAUUGUUAUUACGAGUCUCGUCCUGUGCAUUGUUGUUACGGGACUCGUCCUGUGCAUUGUUGUUAUGGGACUCGUCCUGUGCAUUGUUGUUAUGGGACUCGUCCUGUGCAUUAUUACGGGUCUCGUCUUGUGCAUUCUUACGGGUCUCGUCUGUGCAUUGUUAUUACGGGUCUCGUCCUGUGCAUUGUUAUUACGGGUCUCGUCCUGUGCAUUGUUGUUAUGGGACUUGUCCUGUGCAUUCUUACGGGUUCGUCCUGUGCAUUUUUAUUACGGGUCUCGUCCUGUGCAUUGUUAUUACGGGUCUCGUCCUGUGCAUUGUUAUACGGGUCUCGUCCUGUGCAUUGUUAUUGUGUGUCUCUUGUGCAUUGUAUUAGGGUCUCGUCCUGUGCAUUGUUAUUGUGUGUCUCGUCCUGUGCAUUAUCGUGGUCUCUUCCUGUGCAUUGUUAUUACGGGUCUCGUCCUGUGCAUUGUUAUCGGGUCUCGUCCUGUGCAUUGUUUACGGUCUCUUCCUGUGCAUUGUUAUUACGGGUCUCGUCCUGUGCAUUGUUUUUACGGGUCUCGUCUGUGCAUUGUUUUAUGGUCUCGUCCUGUGCAUUGUUAUUACGGGUCUCGUCCUGUGCAUUGUUUAUUACGGGUCUCGUCCUGUGCAUUGUUAUUACGGGUCUCGUCCUGUGCAUUGUUAUUACGGGUCUCGUCCUGUGCAUUGUAUUACGGGUCUCGUCCUGUGCAUUGUUAUUACGGGUCUCUUCCUGUGCAUUGUUAUUACGGGUCUCGUCCUGUGCAUUGUUAUUACGGGUCUCGUCCUGUGCAUUGUUAUUACGGGUCUCUUCCUGUGCAUUGUUAUUACGGGUCUCGUCCUGUGCAUUGUUAUUAAGGUCUCGUGUCAUUGUUAUCGGGUUCGUCCUGUGCAUUGUUAUUACGGUCUCGUCCUGUGCAUUGUUAUUACGGGUCUCGUCCUGUGCAUUGUUAUUACGCGUCUCGUCCUGUGCAUUGUUAUUACGGGUCUCGUCCUGUAAUGAUAACUCAAGUGAUUGUUUGGCCAUUUUGUCAACUGUUGUCAAUUACUGUUGA
rnacentral:lncRNA from 1 species